UGGGGAAUCUUGCACAAUGGGGGAAACCCUGAUGCAGCGACGCCGCGUGAACGAUGAAGCCCUUCGGGGUGUAAAGUCCUUUCGACAGGAACGAUAAUGACGGUACCUGGAGAAGAAGCUGCGGCUAACUACGUGCCAGCAGCCGCGGUAAUACGUAGGCAGCGAGCGUUGUUCGGAGUUACUGGGCGUAAAGAGUGCGUAGGCGGCGAGCCAAGUUUGGUGUGAAAUCUCCCGGCUUAACCGGGAGGGUGCGCCGAAAACUGGUUGGCUGGAGUAUGGGAGAGGAAAGCGGAAUUCCUGGUGUAGCGGUGAAAUGCGUAGAUAUCAGGAGGAACACCUGCGGUGUAGACAGCUUUCUGGACCAAAACUGACGCUGAGGCACGAAAGCGUGGGUAGCAAACA
rnacentral:rRNA from 1 species